rnacentral:lncRNA from 1 species
AAGCAGAGUCUAGUCUGCUUGUCUAGACUUGAUCCUCUCUCUGUUCACCCUGCCUAAUCUUCUGCAACCCACGGGCUGAGAACCACUGGCCUAGAGCUUUAACUGAGCCCUGGAACUUGUCCCCUUGGACAACCUCAAGGAGCAUAGCAUGAAGACUGGCUCACCGGGGCAUCCCGGGAGUUUGGACUUUUUAUUCACAUAUCUGUGAAAAGAGACACAAGAAGUUUGCAGGUUUAAAGACACACAUCUACUUUCUCCUUCACAUUUGAGAAACCAGUUUCGUGUUUUCCUCUUUCUGGUUGGUCUUGAGACAGAAAACAGCCGUACCAUUCCAUAGAUCCCAUCUGUUUGAUACAAAAACCUCAGCAUCAGAGAAGAGACUUAUCUGAUAUUUCAGAUCUGUGUCUUUAUCAUUAAAAAUAAUUUUUUAAGAAGUGUCAUUUGUAGAUCUGGAUCACAAAGACUAAUUUUUCCCCAUCUGACACAUUUUGGAUAGGCUGUGAAGAGGUAAAAAAUGGUCCCAAUGUGGUGGUAUUUGGAGGGGCAGGGAAGUAGUUUGGCCAAGAGAAUGGGGUCAUUGUGAACAUGCAAUCAGUUAUCUUAUAAAAGAGGCCAGAGAGCUAGCAAGCUCUCCUCCCCUAUAUAAGAUGUACACGAAGUUAUCCACCAGUCCAGAAGCAGGUGACACUAAGAACCUGCCCACGGUAUCGGGUCUCACAGUACUGUGAGCUCAAACAUCCAAUAAUCAGGACUGUGGUAAAGGAAUGUCAAAUGUCUAUAACCCAUGGUGGUGUUUUACAGCAUCCAAACCAAGACAGACUUUUAAAGUUUCAGCUCUAACAUUUACAUUGUUCAGAAACACAUUUUAAUUUUUAGAUGUGUUGUAAGAUUAGGGUUCCUUACUACCAUUUUGCAUGUGGCGAUCCAGCCUCUAACUUCCGUUUUGAAAAGCCUGUUUUGUUUUGUUUUUUUUUCUAAUUGAGGGCUUUGGGCCUCCCUGUUGGCAGUCUCUGGACCAUCUUUGAAAAGGUUUGUUUCAAAGCUGUCUAAUCGAUUUCACUGAAGCACAUAUCAUCAUCCUUUAUCCCGAUAUUACACUGUUUUAAUUACUCUCGGCUUCAUAUUGAUUUUUGAGGUCAAGAAUUAUGAGACCAGCUCCUGAAUUUGUUGUUCUCCUUUAAAGCCAUUUUGGCUAUUGAUGGUUCCCAGGGAUAUCAUAGAAGUUAUCAGAUGGAUUUUUUUUUAAUUUCUGCAAAAAAAAAUCACUGGAUUGUAGAUAUCUAUGGAUACUACAGACUUUCAAAACUUAAAAUGUCAGUAUUUUAUUCAUCUAUAUGGGAUGCCUUUCCAUUUCUUGUCUUGUUUACAUUUUUGGCAGCAAUCAAAAUCACCGUGGAUUGUUGGAGUAAUAGACAAUCUUAUUAAAGAAUACAUCUUUAGUCUCUUCUGUGAAUUUUACUUUGAACUAUUAGUAAGUCUACUGCAAAUGCUUUCUAAAAUUCCUUGUGAAAUCAGGCGACCCAUUGUUAAAGAAAUGCAGCUGAUUUAUGAGGGUCAAUUCUGUAUCCUGCUACUCUGCUGGAUUUCACUUAUUAGUUAUGGCGUCUUUCUCUUUGUUUCAGAAGACUCCUCAAGGUUUUUUAUGUAUAAGAUCAUGGCAUCUGAUAACAGGGCACCUUUCUCCACCCUUUCCCACUGGGAUGCGGUCCUGGCUAUUUUUACAUCAACUUGACACAAGCUAGAGUCAUCUGAAAGGUGGCAACCUCCAUUGAGAAAAUGCCUCCGUAAGAUCAGGCUGUAGGCAAGCCUAUAAGGCAUUUCAUAAUUAGUGAUUGAUAUGGGAGGGCCCAGCCCAUGGUGAGUGCCAUGAGAAAACCAUGAGCAAGCUAUGAGGAACACGCCUAUAAGCAGCUUCCUCCACAGCCUCUGCAUCAGCUCCUGCCUCCGGGCUCCUGCCCUGACUUCUUCAGUGAUGACCUGUGGAUAUAUAAGUGUAAACAAAAUAAAAUCUUUCCUCUCCAAGUCACUUUCAGUUAUGGGUAUUUCAUCAGGGCAAGAGCAACUCUAAGACAAAUGUCUUUUGUUUCUCCUGGCCAACUAUUCUAGCUAGAACUUCAAACAAAUGUUAUGUUAAAUAGAUAAGGCAAAAGCAGCCAUCUCUGUCUUGUUCCUGAUCUUGGAAGAACGUUUUAGUAUUUUACUGCUGAUUGAUGAUGUUUUUGUCUGUGAGCUUCUCAUAGAUCAAUGAGAAGUUAAGGCGAUGAAGUUUCCUUUUUCUUUUUCCACUUCAUCAAGUGAUGUUUAUGUAAGGAUGUUGAAUCUUAUCAAGCAAUUCCUCUGUAUUGACCUAGAUGAUCAUGGGUGUUCUUUCCUGCCUCUUCAUUCUGUUAAUGGGGUGUGUAAUGUUGACUGGUUUUAAAUUCUAAGCCAGCCUUACAUUCCAGAAAUAAAUCACAUCUGGCCAUGGGGUGUAAUUCUUUU